rnacentral:rRNA from 1 species
CGUGCUAAUCUGCGAUAAGCGCCGGUAAGGUGAUAUGAACCGUUAUAACCGGCGAUACCCGAAUGGGGAAACCCAGUGUGACUCGUCACACUAUCAUUAACUGAAUCCAUAGGUUAAUGAGGCGAACCGGGGGAACUGAAACAUCUAAGUACCCCGAGGAAAAGAAAUCAACCGAGAUUCCCCCAGUAGCGGCGAGCGAACGGGGAGGAGCCCAGAGCCUGAAUCAGCAUGUGUGUUAGUGGAAGCGUCUGGAAAGGCGCGCGAUACAGGGUGACAGCCCCGUACACAAAAGCGCAUGUGCUGUGAGCUCGAUGAGUAGGGCGGGACACGUGGUAUCCUGUCUGAAUAUGGGGGGACCAUCCUCCAAGGCUAAAUACUCCUGACUGACCGAUAGUGAACCAGUACCGUGAGGGAAAGGCGAAAAGAACCCCGGCGAGGGGAGUGAAAAAGAACCUGAAACCGUGUACGUACAAGCAGUGGGAGCACCCUUUUGGGUGUGACUGCGUACCUUUUGUAUAAUGGGUCAGCGACUUAUAUUCUGUAGCAAGGUUAACCGUAUAGGGGAGCCGUAGGGAAACCGAGUCUUAACCGGGCGUUAAGUUGCAGGGUAUAGACCCGAAACCCGGUGAUCUAGCCAUGGGCAGGUUGAAGGUUGGGUAACACUAACUGGAGGACCGAACCGACUAAUGUUGAAAAAUUAGCGGAUGACCUGUGGCUGGGGGUGAAAGGCCAAUCAAACCGGGAGAUAGCUGGUUCUCCCCGAAAGCUAUUUAGGUAGCGCCUCGUGAAUUCAUCUCCGGGGGUAGAGCACUGUUUCGGCUAGGGGGCCAUCCCGGCUUACCAACCCGAUGCAAACUGCGAAUACCGGAGAAUGUUAUCACGGGAGACACACGGCGGGUGCUAACGUCCGUCGUGAAGAGGGAAACAACCCAGACCGCCAGCUAAGGUCCCAAAGUCAUGGUUAAGUGGGAAACGAUGUGGGAAGGCCCAGACAGCCAGGAUGUUGGCUUAGAAGCAGCCAUCAUUUAAAGAAAGCGUAAUAGCUCACUGGUCGAGUCGGCCUGCGCGGAAGAUGUAACGGGGCUAAACCAUGCACCGAAGCUGCGGCAGCGACGCUUAUGCGUUGUUGGGUAGGGGAGCGUUCUGUAAGCCUGUGAAGGUGUGUCGUGAGGCAUGCUGGAGGUAUCAGAAGUGCGAAUGCUGACAUAAGUAACGAUAAAGCGGGUGAAAAGCCCGCUCGCCGGAAGACCAAGGGUUCCUGUCCAACGUUAAUCGGGGCAGGGUGAGUCGACCCCUAAGGCGAGGCCGAAAGGCGUAGUCGAUGGGAAACGGGUUAAUAUUCCCGUACUUGGUGUUACUGCGAAGGGGGGACGGAGAAGGCUAUGUUGGCCGGGCGACGGUUGUCCCGGUUUAAGCGUGUAGGUGUGUGUUCCAGGUAAAUCCGGUUCACUUUAACACUGAGGCGUGACGACGAGGCACU